CAGCCGCCGCGGUAAUACGUAGGGAGCAAGCGUUGUUCGGAUUUACUGGGCGUAAAGGGCGCGUAGGCGGCGCGGUAAGUCACUUGUGAAAUCUCUGAGCUUAACUCAGAACGGCCAAGUGAUACUGCUGUGCUAGAGUGCGGAAGAGGCAACCGGAAUUCUUGGUGUAGCGGUGAAAUGCGUAGAUAUCAAGAGGAACACCUGAGGCGAAGGCGGGCUGCUGGGCCGACACUGACGCUGAUGCGCGAAAGCCAGGGGAGCAAACGGGAUUAGAUACCCCGGUAGUCCCUGUCUCUUAUAC
rnacentral:rRNA from 1 species